UACGGAGGGGGCUAGCGUUGUUCGGAAUUACUGGGCGUAAAGCGCGCGUAGGCGGACCUGCAAGUCGUGGGUGAAAGCCCGAGGCUCAACCUCGGGCCUGCAGUGGGUACGGGCAGACUAGAGUGCGGUAGGGGAGACUGGAAUUCCUGGUGUAGCGGUGAAAUGCUUAGAUAUGACAUAGAACACCAAUUGCGAAGGCAGCUGGCUACACAAAAUAUUGACACUGAGGCACGAAAGCGUGGGGAUCAAACAGG
rnacentral:rRNA from 1 species